rnacentral:tRNA from 1 species
UGCAUCGACCGGGAAUCGAACCCGGGCCGCCCGCGUGCAAGGCGAGCAUUCUACCACUGAACCACCGAUGC